rnacentral:rRNA from 1 species
AACGUAGGAGACGAGCGUUAUCCGGAUUUACUGGGCGUAAAGCGCGUGCAGGCGGCAUGGCAAGUUGGAUGUGAAAGCUCCCGGCUUAACUGGGAGAGGUCGUUCAAUACUGCCAGGCUUGAGAGUGGUAGAGGGAAGCGGAAUUCCGGGUGUAGUGGUGAAAUGCGUAGAUAUCCGGAGGAACACCAGUGGCGAAAGCGGCUUCCUGGCCCAUUUCUGACGCUCAGACGCGAAAGCUAGGGUAGCAAACGGGAUUAGAGACCCCGGUAGUCCUAGCUGUAAACGAUGUGAACUUGGCGUUGGCGGGUUUAAAUCCGUCAGUGCCGCAGCUAACGCGAUAAGUUCACCGCCUGGGGACUACGGCCGCAAGGUUAAA